rnacentral:rRNA from 1 species
UACGUAGGGGGCUAGCGUUGUCCGGAAUCAUUGGGCGUAAAGCGCGCGUAGGCGGCCCGGUAAGUCCGCUGUAAAAGUCCAGGGCUCAACCCUGGAACGCCGGUGGAUACUGUCGGGCUAGAGUCCGGAAGAGGCGAGUGGAAUUCCUGGUGUAGCGGUGGAAUGCGUAGAGAUCAGGAAGAACAUCGGUGGCGAAGGCGCUCUGCUGGACCAUAACUGACACUCAGGGACGAAAGCUAGGGGAGCGAAUGGG